rnacentral:misc_RNA from 1 species
GAUGAAGAACGUAGCGAAAUGCGAUAAGUAAUGUGAAUUGCAGAAUUCAGUGAAUCAUCGAAUCUUUGAACGCACAUUGCGCCCGCUAGUAUUCUGGCGGGCAUGCCUGUCCGAGCGUCAUUUCAACCCUCAAGCCCCCGGGCCUGGUGUUGGGGAUCGGCGAGCCUCCGCGCCCGCCGUCCCCUAAAUCUAGUGGCGGUCUCGCUGUAGCUUCCUCUGCGUAGUAGCACACCUCGCACUGGGAAACAGCGCGGCCACGCCGUUAAACCCCCAACUUCUGAACGUUUGACCUCGGAUCAGGUAGGAAUACCCGCUGAACUUAAGCAUAUCAAUAAGCGGAGGA